ACACAAGCUUGAAUCUGACAGAAAAGACAAGCUCGCUGCUGAGCUCGGACUCGAUCCUCGUCAAGUGGCCGUGUGGUUUCAGAACCGGAGGGCUCGUGAUAAGACUAAGAAGAUUGAGGAGACCUACGCUACCUUGAAGACCGCUCAUGAAAAUGUCGUCGUGGAGAAAACCCGACUCGAGUCUGAGGUAUAUUAGCUUUCUUGUUUCUAAUUAUAAUGUUAAUUCACAUCAACGAUUUAUUUAUUUGUUUGUUUAAUUCAAUAUUGACACAUUUCAUUUUCUUACUCAACAUGCAAGUAGUAUACCUUGCCGCUAACCAUUCCCGCAAUUUAUGACUGACUUUGAGUUAUUUUAAAGAAAAUGAAUCUGAGUUGAAACGUCUUAAUUGUUUCUUAUCCUCUAUAAAAGGACAAAAGUACCAAAGAUAUUUGAUUGUGAAUGAGCUCUGGGCUCGAAGAAAGCCAUCCCAUGCUUAUUUAUUUUUAACUUUUUUUUUUAAUAAAUAUUUAUUUUUAACUAAGAACAGGAUACUACUUUUAUACUUGCCACCUCACUUUUGACGGCAAAAGCCACCAAAAUGAUACAUGUUCAUAACUUGGUAUUGAUUGAUAAUAAUAAUAACACGGUGAGCAUUACGUUAGUCUUUACAACGUUGUUAAAAGUGGUUAGUUUUGGGCUUGAUUAUGGCCUACCCUGGGGAGCAGCAAAAAGAAGGAACUUACGCCCACGUGACCUUGGAAACUUUUUUUCUUUUCAGCAACUUCCUGUUCUUGAUAUUGUUUAACAAGCGAUUUGACUUGAUUUGCAGGUGACAACGCUGAAAGAGAAGCUUUCAGUUGCCGAGAAGGAGAUUAAGAAAAUGUCAGAGCUCAUUGAAGGGAUUUCACUCAAUAAUCCGAGUGCCACGAUCCCAACGGACAUGGACACCGUGGACUCACCGUUUACCCUGGACCCUUUUGCUGGUAAUCUUGGGUGGUUUGAUUAUGAGGAUCUCCUCUACUUGCUUCAACAGAAUUACAUUUCUGCUGCCGAGUGGCUCUUACUCCACACC
rnacentral:lncRNA from 1 species